UACGUAGGGGGCUAGCGUUGUCCGGAAUCAUUGGGCGUAAAGAGCGUGUAGGCGGUCCGGUCAGUCGGUUGUGAAAGUCAAGGGCUCAACCCUUGAAUGCCGGCCGAUACUGCCGGGCUAGAGUCCGGAAGAGGUGAGUGGAAUUCCUGGUGUAGCGGUGAAAUGCGCAGAUAUCAGGAGGAACACCGGUGGCGAAGGCGGAUCUCUGGGCCUUGCCUGACGCUGAGGCGCGAAAGCUAGGGGAGCGAACAGG
rnacentral:rRNA from 1 species